GGCUGGGCAGUCUCCAUGGAAGGCUUGGUGAGGAAAAAAAGAGCAGACUGGGCUGAGAGACUUGGAAAUAGAUGAGUCAGGAGGGCUCCAGCACUAUAGGAAUCCUCUCAGAUGCUCUGAGUGAGUAGCCAAGUGAAGAAUUUAAACAGAGAGCUGUCCUCAGAUGUUCAGAUGGUCAUUACCCAGUCAAAUGUCAAAACAAAAACACGAAACAAGCUAAUAACCCUCCCCCACCCAGCUGUUUUCAGUGGCUGUGUUCCACCCAGGCACGAAGGAAAGAAGGAAGAUUAGUUAGAAGGCUAGUUAAGUUUAGUUUGAAAUUAUAUAAAUAAUUUUGGUAUUUUGUGUAUAUAUACCAAAGAACCAAGGGGCCAGAAAUACUGUAGGAUGUCAGUCAUUGAGAAUAAUAAAAUUGGAAGAUGGACCUUUUAGGUGCUAAGGCCACCUUUAAAUAAAGGAGAGUGGAUAAGUGGUAGAUUCUCUAUAUCUACAUCUAUAUCUACAUCUACAUCUAUAUCUACAUCUACAUCUAUAUCUAUAUCUAAUCAGGAUGGUUUCAAAAGGUGAAGAAGAUAGUCGGAUUUUAGGUUUACAAUAAACAGAUCUGAUGGGCUUCAUCGACAGCUCAGAUUUAGGACACACAAGAAGGCUUUCCAGGUUUGGGGAAGAGAAUUGUUUAUUACUAUCUGGACAAUCUGAGGAGACGCAGUAUUAGGAUAACCAAUGUUCAGAUUUGCUGCACACAUUCCGUAUCCAUAUAGUGAGAUAGAGAAGAACCAGGGUUGUGCAUACUUGGUUAGUGUAUAAUUGAAUGUAACACCAGAUACUCACUGGACCACAGUAACAAACUUGGGAGCAGGAACUAGUAGACUACAUUUGAAGCUAACAAUGACUUGGGCAAACAAUUACAUGAGUACAGACAAAAUCUGAGAAUGAGGUGUGACCCCUUGAGUAUCUAGAAGGCAGAGGUUGAGGAGACUGAGAACAGACCCCUUAAGUAGAGAGCCAAGGGACCAAACGACAAUGGUAUUUUAAAAAAGAGACUCAUCAGUGUCAAAUACUAUGCCUAUGUUUGAAAAUGACUAAUAUUUGGCAUGAAUAAUCUUGGUGUGUGUUCUACGGGUAAAAUGAAUCAAACUGAGAGAGGGAGAAAAAGGACUUAAGUACAACAACCCCAGGCUUUCAAACUGUCCUCAUCAGGAGGGGGAAAGGGUCAGGGGUUAGUUCUGGCAACCAGAGAAGCGUGGACUUGACCUUGAAGUGAGACAGAUUAGCAGGUUCACGGGCUUCUCUGUCUGUGUCCAUUUGGGUUCUGUAAAUGGCAACCCUGUCCAUCCAAUCAACAUUGUCUCUAGCUCUCCUCCUUCUACUACGAGUCCAGUAUGCAAGCAAAUAUUUGCAGAGAGCUUCUUCUCAUAGUGUUCUAGCCACAAUGUGAGUCUGGACAGGAGGAAAGUGGCAGUGGCGGGGGUGCAGGAGGUGAGUGAGUUUCUAAGGUACAAAGUGUUAGGGGAUUGACCAUUUUUUGUGAAGAUGGACUGCAAGAGGCUCCUAGAUAAGAAAUUUGUUUACAACUAGGACAUUCUGAAGUUGAGGUUUUUUGGAUGUAGAACUACUAAUGGUCAUUAAAUUUUGAGGCUAGAACCACAUGAGACUGGCAGAAAAAAAUGUCAGUGGAAGUGUGAUUACCAAAGAACCAAGGGGCCAGAAAUGCUGUGGGAUGUCAGUUAUUGAGAAUGAUAAAAUUGGAAGAUGGACCUUUUAGGUGCUAAAGCCACCAAUAAGUAAAGGAGAGUGGAUAAGUGGUAGAUUCACAACACCAAUGCGUAAACACCAACACGUAAAGAAUGCGUGAUAGCAGCCGAUGAGACAAGUUUCAGUUGGUUUUAGAUUUGGAAAGACAGAAUAAGGAAACAUCAUC
rnacentral:lncRNA from 1 species